UGGGGGUUGAGUAAAUGCUUAGGAAUCUGCCUAUUAGUGGGGGACAACAUCUCGAAAGGGAUGCUAAUACCGCAUACGUCCUACGGGAGAAAGCAGGGGAUCUUCGGACCUUGCGCUAAUAGAUGAGCCUAAGUCGGAUUAGCUAGUUGGUGGGGUAAAGGCCUACCAAGGCGACGAUCUGUAGCGGGUCUGAGAGGAUGAUCCGCCACACUGGGACUGAGACACGGCCCAGACUCCUACGGGAGGCAGCAGUGGGGAAUAUUGGACAAUGGGGGGAACCCUGAUCCAGCCAUGCCGCGUGUGUGAAGAAGGCCUUAUGGUUGUAAAGCACUUUAAGCGAGGAGGAGGCUACUUUAGUUAAUACCUAGAGAUAGUGGACGUUACUCGCAGAAUAAGCACCGGCUUAUCUCUGUGCCAGCAGCCGCGGUAAUACA
rnacentral:rRNA from 1 species